UUAUUAAAUUAUAAUAAAUAUUAUGAUUUAAUAUAUUAGCAUAGAUUAGCAUGGCCCCUGCGCAAGGAUGACACGCAAAAUCGUGAAGCGUUCCACAUUUUU